UCAAGCGUUUAAGGGCGUGUAGUGGAUGCCUUGGCACUGAAAGCCGAUGAAGGACGUGAUAUACUGCGAUAAGUUUCGGGGAGCUGUAUGUAAGUUUUGAUCCGAAAAUUUCCGAAUGGGGAAACCCACCACUUUAUGUGGUACUUUAAACUGAAUACAUAGGUUUAAAGAGACAACCUGGAGAACUGAAACAUCUAAGUAACCAGAGGAAAAGAAAUCAAUUGAGAUUCCGUUAGUAGUGGCGAGCGAACGCGGACUAGGCCAGUAGUUUUGUUAAAAAAAUUUGAAUAGUUUGGAAAUGCUAACCAUAGAGGGUGAUAGUCCCGUAUGAGUAAUGUUUAACAAAAUUCUUGAGUAAAGCGGGACACGUGAAAUCCUGCUCGAAUAUAGGGGGACCACCCUCUAAGCCUAAAUACUCUUCAGUGACCGAUAGUGAACUAGUACCGUGAGGGAAAGGUGAAAAGAACCCCUAUUAGGGGAGUGAAAUAGAACCUGAAACUGCAUGCCUACAAUCAGUCGAAGCUCUUUUUAGAGUGACGGCGUACCUUUUGUAUAAUGGGUCAGUGACUUAAUUUAUUAAGCAAGCUUAAGCCAUCUAGGUGUAGGCGCAGCGAAAGCAAGUCUUAAUAGGGCGAUUAGUUUAAUGAAUUAGACCCGAAAACGAAUGAGCUUACCAUGAGCAGGUUGAAAGUUGGGUAACACCAACCGGAGGACCGAACCAGUUGACGUUGAAAAGUCUUUGGAUGACUUGUGGUAAGGGGUGAAAGGCCAACCAAAUUCGUAGAUAGCUGGUUUUCCGCGAAAACUAUUUAGGUAGUGCGUUGAAUAAAUAGAUGUUUAGAGGUAGAGCACUAAAUGGGCUAGGGGGAAGAGAUUCUUACCAAACCUAAUAAAACUCCGAAUGCUAGACAUUGUUCUUCAACAGACAGACUGUGGGUGCUAAGGUCCAUGGUCGAGAGGGAAAGAGCCCAGACCACCAGAUAAGGUCCCCAAAUUAUGAUUAAGUGUGAAAGGAUGUGGAAAUUCCUUAACAGCCGGGAGGUUGGCUUAGAAGCAGCCAUCCUUUAAAGAUAGCGUAACAGCUCACCGGUCUAAUAGAGUUUCUGCGCCGAAGAUGUAACGGGGCUAAAAUCAUAUACCGAAUCUGUGGGUUUAUAAAACUUUCGAGUUUUAUAAGCGGUAGCGGAACGUUCUGUAAGCCUGUGAAGGGAUACCCGUGAGGGAUCCUGGAGGUAUCAGAAGUGCGAAUGCUGACAUAAGUAACGAUAAAAGAAGUGAAAAACUUCUUCGCCGAAAAUCCAAGGGUUUCUGCGCAAGGUUAAUCCGCGCAGAGUUAGUCGGCACCUAAGGCGAGGGCGAAAGCCGUAGUCGAUGGAAAUAAGGUUAAUAUUCCUUAACCAGAUGGUAGUGACGGAUCUUGUAAGUUGUGUACUCUUAAUGGAUUGAGUAUGCCGCGAAAAGGUUCCAAGAAAUAGCUCCAUCAUUAGACCGUACCCUAAACCGACACAGGUGGAUUAAUAGAGUAUAUUUAGGCGCUUGAGAGAAUGAUGUUGAAGGAACUCGGCAAAAUGCUUCCGUAACUUCGGGAUAAGGAAGACCUGUUUUUAGGCAACUAGAGAUGGGUGGCACAAGCCAGGGAGAAGCGACUGUUUAUCAAAAACACAGGGCUCUGCUAACACGUAAGUGGAUGUAUAGGGUCUGACGCCUGCCCGGUGCUGGAAGGUUAAUGCGGUUGGUGCAAGCUAACUUCUGAAGCCCCAGUAAACGGCGGCCGUAACUAUAACGGUCCUAAGGUAGCGAAAUUCCUUGUCGGGU
rnacentral:rRNA from 1 species